GUAGGUGGCAAGCGUUGUCCGGAAUUAUUGGGCGUAAAGCGCGCGCAGGCGGGUUCUUUAAGUCUGAUGUGAAAGCCCACGGGCUCAACCGUGGAGGGUCAUUGGAAACUGGAGAACUUGAGUACAGAAGAGGAAAGCGGAAUUCCACGUGUAGCGGUGAAAUGCGUAGAGAUGUGGAGGAACACCAGUGGCGAAGGCGGCUUUCUGGUCUGUAACUGACGCUGAGGCGCGAAAGCGUGGGGAGCAAACAGGAUUAGAUACCCUGGGAGUCCACGCCGUAAACGACGAGUGCUAAGUGUUAGGGGGUUUCCGCCCCUUAGUGCUGCAGCUAACGCAUUAAGCACUCCGCCUGGGGAGUACGGCCGCAAGGCUG
rnacentral:rRNA from 1 species